AUUUUGUAAGUGUCCCUGCCACUGAAGGCAGCCAGUUUUAUGAACUGUUAAGCUCCUUCUCAUGGCAGCCAUCCCAUACUGUGAGAAGAUCAAUGACCUGUUCCCCAAAUUCCACAUAAGUCCACCAGCCUCCAUACCUAUUGAAACGAUGAUUCCACAGUGUGUGUUCCUUCAAUCCUUCACGUACAAUGAAGAGGAAGGAGGAGCAGAGAUCAUACGCUACAGGAGUAAUCUGCAGAUUACAAGUUGCUUUCGCAAAAGAUUACUAACAGGAGAGGAGAGAGAGGCCAAGAUUUCAUGUGUAUCUCCAUCUCAUCUCCUCCUUUGCCCGCCCUGAUGAAGCAAAUAGGAUAUGCCCCACAGCAGGUACAGAGAUCAGUGGUGGGUUGCCCCCGGUUCGGACUGGUUCUCAAGAAGUGGUAGUAAAACUGGCAGGAGGCUCCGCCCACUGACCCGGAUGUCAUUGUAGGUGAUCUGCGCAUGCACAGAAGAGCACGGGCGCGAUGCGAACUGGUAGAAAAGAUCAAUAAUUUUAAAAGUCUUUCAACAAAUGAGGAGCGGCCAUAUUUUGAAUCUUCAGAUUCUGCUAGACUCUCAUACAAGAUGUCAAGUCGAAUACCAAUUAUUGGCCUAGAGCAGGGGUGUCAAACUCGCGGCCUGUGUGGGACAGAUGCGUCAUGCGCUGGCCACGCCCACCCCUGGUUUAACGAAGGGGGGAAAGUUGCAAUAUGUCAUGUGAUGAUGCUGUGUCAUCACGAGUUUGACACCCCUGGUCUAGAGUAAUUGAACUCUCCAUACAUAUUAAAGGAAGAUUUCAGAAUGAAGUAUUUGUGUAAUUGGAAACUUGUGGAAAAAUAGGUGCAGCGAGGAAUCUUGAUGAUGAGUGGAACACUAAGUAACAUAUAUAGCAGAUUAGAAUUCUAAUAUAUAGUGGAAAGAAAAGGAAGGGGGAGUAGAGUAGAACAGAGUAGAGUAGAGUGAAGUGAAGAGUAGAGUGA